rnacentral:tRNA from 1 species
GCCAGCGUGGCGGAACUCGGUUAACGCGCUCGUCUCGAAAACGGGUCCCUCUGGGAUUGCAGGUUCAAAUCCUGCCGCUGGCG